rnacentral:snoRNA from 1 species
GUCUGUGAUGAUGAGCUUCAUAUCUAAUCACAAGUAAUAUGGUUAUGCUUGUGCAAAUGCAGAUUUUUCAUGAGCUAGGACGGUCUGAGAC